rnacentral:rRNA from 1 species
GACGAACGCUGGCGGCGUGCUUAACACAUGCAAGUCGAACGGUGAUCUUGAGAGCUUGCUCUUGGGUGAUCAGUGGCGAACGGGUGAGUAACACGUGAGUAACCUGCCCCUGACUCUGGAAUAACUUCGGGAAACCGAAGCUAAUACCGGAUACGACACGAACGGGCAUCCGUAUCGUGUGGAAAGUUUUUCGGUUGGGGAUGGACUCGCGGCCUAUCAGCUUGUUGGUGAGGUAAUGGCUCACCAAGGCGACGACGGGUAGCCGGCCUGGGAGGGCGACCGGCCACACUGGGACUGGGACACGGCCCAGAGUCCUACGGGAGGCAGCAGUGGGGAAUAUUGCACAAUGGGCGAAAGCCUGAUGCAGCGACGCAGCGUGAGGGAUGAAGGCCUUCGGGUUGUAAACCUCUUUCAGUAGGGAAGAAGCGCAAGUGACGGUACCUACAGAAGAAGCACCGGCUAACUACGUGCCAGCCGCCGCAGUAAAAC